CCUACGGGUGGCUGCAGUGGGGAAUAUUGGGCAAUGGGCGCAAGCCUGACCCAGCAACGCCGCGUGAGGGAAGAAGGUUUUCGGAUUGUAAACCUCUGUCGCAGAUGACGAAACAAAUGACGGUAAUCUGUGAGGAAGCCCCGGCUAACUACGUGCCAGCAGCCGCGGUAAUACGUAGGGGGCGAGCGUUGUCCGGAAUUACUGGGCGUAAAGGGAGCGUAGGCGGUCGAUUAAGUUGGAUGUGAAAUACCCGGGCUUAACUUGGGGGGUGCAUCCAAUACUGGUUGACUAGAGUACAGGAGAGGAAAGCGGAAUUCCUAGUGUAGCGGUGAAAUGCAUAGAUAUUAGGAGGAACAUCGGUGGCGAAGGCGGCUUUCUGGACUGACACUGACGCUGAGGCUCGAAAGCGUGGGGAGCAAACAGGAUUAGAUACCCCUGUAGUC
rnacentral:rRNA from 1 species